GUAAUCUGAAGAAUCAGGAAACCCAGGAAUGCACAGGGCACUCAAAAGAUCAGAAGGUCCAUGUGGAAUCUUCUUGGAACCGAAAUCGCCGGCGCAAGAAGGGCAGAUGAACAUUUUUUAAUUGAAAAGUAAUACGGUUUAGCAGCUUCCAUUUCCCUUUGAACAGAAGACUUUUUUGAAGUUUUGAUUAAUAGGGCACAUUAGUAAGAAAAUAAGAUUUAUGUGUGUGUUCUACCAUGCUGAGGUUAUAGGUAUGAGCACAGAAAAAAAAUAAAAAUAGUUGCUGCCUAU